rnacentral:rRNA from 1 species
UUACGGCCAUAUCACGUUCCAACACCGGUUCCCGUACGAUCACCGAAGUUAAGCCAUGUCGAGUCUGGUCAGUAUCUAGAUGAUUGACCGCUUGGAAAUACCUGGUGCC